UACGAAGGGUGCAAGCGUUAUUCGGAGUCAUUGGGCGUAAAGCGCGCGCAGGCGGAUUAAUAAGUCAGGUGUGAAAUCUCGAGGCUCAACCUCGAAACUGCGCCUGAAACUAUUAGUCUAGAGUGUCGGAGGGGGCAGGGGAAUUUCACGUGUAGGGGUAAAAUCCGUAGAGAUGUGAAGGAACACCGGAGGCGAAGGCGCCUGCCUGGACGACUACUGACGCUGAGGCGCGAAAGCGUGGGGAGCAAACAGG
rnacentral:rRNA from 1 species